rnacentral:tRNA from 1 species
GGGCCCGUUGCCUAGCCCGGUACCUUACGCAAUCUGCGUUGUGUGGGAAUAUAGGGCGCCAGCCUUCUAAGUUGGAGUUCGUGUGUUCAAAUCACACCGGGCCCGCCA